ACUCCUACGCUGAGGCAGCAGUGGGGAAUCUUCCGCAAUGGACGAAAGUCUGACGGAGCAACGCCGCGUGUAUGAUGAAGGUCUUCGGAUUGUAAAGUACUGUCUUUGGGGAAGAAUGACUGAUUUGAAAAUAUUGAGUCAGUAUGACGGUACCCAAGGAGGAAGCCCCGGCUAACUACGUGCCAGCAGCCGCGGUAAUACGUAGGGGGCAAGCGUUGUCCGGAAUUAUUGGGCGUAAAGGGCGCGUAGGCGGAUAGUUAAGUCCGGUGU
rnacentral:rRNA from 1 species